rnacentral:lncRNA from 1 species
UCUAAUACCGGCUGUCUCUAGGGCAAGUGGCAAAGGGUUUGGUAGUUGGUACCCGAGGUCCCAAGUUCAGUUGAUUCACAUUUUUUAGCUAAGUUUAUUUUUAAAUAAAAUAAACGAAGCGGAUAACGUGCUACCUAUCUCUCAAAUAUAUAUAUAUAUAUAUAUAUAUAUAUAUAUAGAGAGAGAGAGAGAGAGAGAGAGAGAGAGAGAGAGAGAGAGAGAGAGAGAGCUAGGCUUCCUAUGCUUUCGGAAGUACGGAAGCUUCCGUAUUUAUAAGUUGUUUUCAAUAAUGGGACAUCCGAUUCGGCGAUCGGUUCCGUUAGAUAUGAUCUACGCUAUUAGAACUAUCUAGAAACAAAUUUCAUAAAUUUUUAACUUCUUUUGUCUAGUAAACGAGUUGCCUCAAAUGAACGGCUGAAAAUAAAAAUCUAAAAAAAAAACAGUAAUAAAGACUCAAAUUUUAAAUCGGAAGUAUUGGUCUUGCUAAUGAUGUUAAGUAGAAUUUUCUAUUAAAUUUUUAUCUAAUUUGGAUACUUUUACACUGUUGAACUUAAAAACGUGCCACAUCGGCUGUUAAAAUAGUCAUUUUUGAGACCUUUUGAUCGCUUGGUAAUGAUGUCAAAAAAUUAAUAAAUUUUGUUUCUAAUAGUUCCAAUAGGAUAGAUUAUAUUUAACGGAGGUGAUCGUCGAAUCAGAUUUCCUAUCAUCGAAAAUAACUUACAAGCACGGAGAUCUCCAUACUUUCGAAAGUACAGGAGAUUUACUCUAUUAUAUAUAUAUAUAAUAUAUAAUUUAUUAAAGAGAGAGAGAGAGAAGAAGAAGAGAGAGAGAGAGAGCUAGGCUGGUAUAUUAUCGGUAGCACGGAGCCUCCGUGCUACCAAGUUAUUUUCAAUGAUGCGACUUCCGAAUCGACGAUCGGCUCCGUUAGACUUGAUCUACACUAUUAAAAGUAAUUGAAAACUAAUUUCAUAAUUUUUGGCCAUCAUUUGGCUAGUGAUCAAAAGGUUUUAAAAUUAACAAUUUUAAUGGUAGAUGUGAUGCGUUUGUGAAUUUAACGGUGUAAAAUAAUCCAAAUCCGAUGAAAUUUUUAUAGAAAAUUUUUUUCACUCUUUAGAAUAAGAUCAGCAUCUCUGAUCUUAAAUUUAAGUCUGUUUUCAUCAUUUUUUAUGAGAUUUUUAUUUUCAGCGUUUGUUUUUUAACUGCUUGUUUAAUAGGUAAAUAAUGCUGAAAAAUUAUGAAAUUUAGUUUCCAAAUACUUUCAAUAGUGUAGAUCAAGUCUAACGAGCCGAUCGUCGAUUUGGAAGCCACAUCAUCGAAACAACUUGGUAAUACGAAGACUUCCGUGCUACCGAUAGUACAUCAGCCUAGCUCUCUCUCUCUCUCUCUAUAUAUAUAUAGAGUUGAUUAGAAUACUAUCGAUAGUAAACGAGCCGUUUUACUACCUAUUGUUUUCGAUGAUAGAGCUUCCAAUUGACGAUCGGCUCCGUUGAACAUGAUCUAUACCACUUGAAGUGUUUAGAAAUCAAAUUUCAAAUCUUUUCGACAUUAUUUGCCUAAUGAUCAAAGGGUUCAAAAUUUGUAAUUUUAAUGGUCGAUAAGAGGCGUUUUCUCGUUUAACAGCGUAAAAAUAUCUAAAUCAAUUGAAUUUUUGUUAGAAAAUUCUUUAAACUAUUUAAAAACAAGAUCAUAUCUUGAUCUUGAUUACAAGACUCCUAUCAUUAUUUUUAAAGAAUAAUCAUUUUCAGCCAUUUAUUUUUCUGUUCACUUGAUGGACAAAAGAAUAAUAUCGAAAGUGCGUGAAAUUUGAUUUCUAGCUAGUUUAAAUGGUUUAGAUCUAUUUAACGGAGCCGAUAAUCAAUUUGGAAGCUCUAUCAUCGAAAACAAAUCGAUAGUAAAACGCUCGUUUACUAUCGAUAGUAUUAUAGCUCAACUCUC